UUGUUUUUCCUUGCAAGGUGUGUUUCAUUUAAAAACAAGAUGUGUUUUAGUUUCAUUAAUCAUACAUAUAAUUUCUAUAAUAUCUCAGGACAAACUGUUGGCAGUCUGAUUAGAGGGGAACAACCAUUUAAAGGUGAAUAGCCCUAUGGCACCUUUGAGAAAUCCCUGGGUCACAGUUCACAUUGUGACUAGAGCUUGUCUUCUAUAUUUCUCUUCCUCCACAUCAGGAGAAGUCCUCAGAGAUGAGAGGGUGAGGUGAGGAAAUCCUGCAGUCUAGGCUUAUGGGAAAUUUCACUCUGCUUUUCUUACUCAUUGGUCCCUGGUCUCCAGAGUGCUCUGCCCUUGUCUUUUCAGUCCGAUCUCAGCCAGCUGGUGAUGCCCCACAUUCCUCAGCUUGUCUUUUUGCUUGCUAUCUAUGCAGUCUCAAUCAGAGCUGAUGCUUCCGCUCCCCUUCACUUUGCUGCAGCAAGAGACCAAAAUUCAAGGUUCUUGAAAGGCCCUGCAUAUGUUAUUAAGCUCAUAUGUAGCAAAAAAUAAAUACCCUUUUCUAGAAUUGACAUUUUGUGACUUGUGAGUGGGCGAUCACAACAAAGGUGAAAUCUACAAAUUAAAAAAAAAUCUGCUGGUAAAAUUUCUAGCCAGGUUAGUUAGUGUCUCUGUGAGCAUACCGGAGGGUUGUACACUUGUGUUUGUGUGUUUGCAUGUGAGUGUCCGAGUGUGUGUGAGUGUGAAUGUAUAUAGACAUAAGCACAAACAAUAGGUCCACAUUUUAAAAAUAUAGUUUGGUAAGCUUAUGCUCUCAUAAUGUCUCUUUGACUUAGCAUAUCUAUCACCUACCUCAAAUUCAUUUUGCCAAUCUAUUGGAAGGUUUUCCACAUGUUCUUAUGUGACAUUUUCUUGCUGUUUCCAAAAUGCCUGGGAUUAAAUUCUAUCAUCAUUAUCAUUUUCUGUGUUAACAUGGGAAGUUUACUCAACCUCUUUGAGUGCUGUUGUUGGAAGUAUUAAAUUCCUAUAUGCAAGCCCUUCAACAGUUCCUGGAACAGAGUUGAAGUGAUGUUAUUACUUUACAGAAUAAUGGUUAUGUGGACAUUAGAUUCAUAUGCCAGUUUCCAAAACAUUUUUAUUUCAUGAAGUUAAAGAAUAUGUGAAAUAAUAUAUGAGUAUAUAAAGUAAUGAUCAUAUAUUAAAUAAUAAUACACACUGUUUCACCCCAUUCAAACUGUAAAAAAAAGUUCAUUUUAUGAAAACACUGUAUAAGAAGUUCUUAAAUAACUUGGCAAAUUCCUGUGGAAUUGAUGUUUAUUUUCUCCUUAAUAAUUUCUGAAGUAUGAUAUAUUUGAUUGAAGAUGCUAAUAGUUUACAAAUUAGCAAUACUCUGUCCUCAUUAAUAUCAUUCUUGUGUUUGACAUUCUACAUGCUCAUCCUUCAUAGGACAUAAGUUUUGCUGGUUCCUUCUUGAUUUUUAAAAUAUUUCCAGAAGGAAUUCCUAGGAAUUUCCUAGGAAUAGAAUAGCAUUUAAUCCAUGUAUUGGUUCAGAGGGUACAGCUUAUCACCCCUAGCUUGGCUAUUAGGACUUCUUUUAUUUAGUUCCUGCUAAUUGAAGAUAUGUUGUCAUUCCUACUGAAAUAUGGGGCAUGCACCAUAAUUUUACUCUUAAAAAAAAUUGAAACCAGGCACAUUUUCAAUUCUUUGAUCAUUUAUUUUAGAAGCCCUAGCUAUAUCAGAGCUGUUUGUUUUUACAUUUUCUUUGCGGGCUUAGCAGUUAUUGAACAGCUCACAGGAGGCAGGAAACCAAACUAGAGUUCAGAUUUCAGUGUGGAUUUUUGUUCUGCCUCAAACUCUCACCAGUUGUAUUCAAUUUAGACAUUCUUAAGUUGCCAGCUUUGCAAUUUACUCUGUGAUUUAUAUGCAGAAUUAUAUAUGUCCUCUAGAACCAGACACACACUCAUUUAGAUAUCUGAAAUAGCGACUUUAACUGAUUUCACAUGUGCCUUUCUUCAGUGGUCACAUGAGGAGAAAAUAACCGGGAAUACAUAAGUCAUGAUAUAUUAUUAGCAUUUUCCCUUGCAAUGAGUUUGCAGCUGCCCACUUUCAGUUUCUCCAGCUUUCUCUCUCAUAGAAAUAGUUAUUGCCAUACUAACUGAGACAAUUGUUUCUCUUUCUUAUUCACUGACUGUUCAUUUCACCUCUCUGAAUAUCUUUGGUCCAUUUUAACAAUGGAGAAAUAUUGUCUGAAUAAUUAUUUUUCUCUUUAUUAUAUCAUCUAUGGUAGUAUUCUAAAAAUAGGGUAUGAAAAAUUAUAGAAUCAUAUUGAUAAUGACUAAAUAUUGAUAUUAUGUGACCUAUGUUAUAUUUUCUUCCAUAUUUCCAUACUCUAUGGACCAUAUGGUGGUGAAUUGAACAAUCACUAAUAAUAUAUGGGCUUUUAAAAACCAAUCUAUUAUGGGAAAGGAAGAAUUAUAGGCUGUAUAAAAGGAUUUAAUUUCAUACAUUGAUCAAGUAUGUCAGACAGUUAUUCAAAUUCCCACUCAAUUUUUAUUGCUUCAAUAAGACAUUGAUGGCAUGCCUUUAAAAUACAAAAUUCUUUUAAGAAAUGUAGCACACAUACAAAUAUAAAAAAAAUAUUUCUCAAGAGCCACACAUGCUUCAACAGAUGGUUCUGUACCCAUGCAUACAAACAGUACUAAAUGGAGUCACAGGUUUAAUAGAAAGAAAAGAGUAUGUUCAGUUGGGAAAAAUAGAGUGGUGGGGAUGGAGAAUGAAAGAAGACCUGCAAGGGAGGGCAUGAGAGGCAAUUUGUUCAAAACACAUUACUCACUGUUGAAAAAAUACAAGCAAAUCAACCAAAUACUUGUAGAUGCUGAUGGAUCAGCAGGAUCUGUGGGCUUAGCUUUAUGUUUGGACAGUCCACGGUUUUCUUAAACAGCAUAUCUAAGACAGAACGUUUAAAGAAUCCUACAGCAACAUUAGAAUGAUACAAAGUGUGGAAGGAUUAACCAAGUAAGUGUGCAGUUUCAAGACCAAAAGGGACAUGAAGAAUAAAAUUAUUUAAGAGAAAAGGGAAGAGGGUAGAAAAUAAAUAUAAACAGAAUGAUAAAUAUAAUAAAUAAUAAUAAAAUAUACAGAUAAUGGUGGACUAAGUCCAUUAAAGUUGAUUAAUUCUCAUAUGGAAUUUAUAUGAAAUAUAUGUGAGAAAGAAUACACAUGAGUGACUUGGCAUUUUCUAGAAUUAACCUCUUGAAUGUUCAGUCAUUUAGAGCCAUGUCUAAGCUAGUUGGGACAUUUGAGGACAUUGAAACCUUUGAAUUCUGCCACUUGCCAGAAACACACAGCUGGUUCUUGUUAUGGUAAGAUGAGACGCCAAAUCUGUAGGCAUUCAUGAAGCCUGAUAUGAUAUAUGUAACACUCAUAUCAUAUCAGAACACAGAGAUGUGGACCUCACCUAGAGCCUGAAGCCAGCAAGCCUUUUCAGAGGUCAAAACUGUGUGUGUGUGUGUGUGUGUGUGUGUGUGUGUGUGUGUGUGUGUGUGUGUGUGAAGGGAAUGAAUGACCAAGGUGAAGAAUGGAACCAUUGGAACCAACUCUUGUGAAAUAGCAUCAUAAAUAAAUGGAGGUAAUUCUCCUUCAUUUCCAUGUCCAUGUCAUAUCAUUAAAAUUUACAUUAGAGUUAUUACCCAUUACUGCUGAUCCCAUUAUUGUCUGCCAUUUUAGAUGAAGAAUGAAGCAGGAAUAAAUGCUACAGAUUUCCAAAGUGGCUUAUAAUAAAGGCCACAACAAUAAACUUAGGACAUUUAACCUCACUGAAACUAUUUAGCAUACAAGUCAGAAUGGACAGAUACUUGCUAGGGAGAAAGAAAAAUGCAUUUUUACUACUUCACAGUCUUCUAAGACUGAGAGAUGAUGUUGCAUCACAUUAACUAUCCCUAUGAUAAAUGGGCUCAAGAUAUAUGCAAAGCAGAGGCAAUUUAUCAUGAUAUAGAUAGGUGGCAUGACUGUAGGUUAAACAUUAGUGAGGCAAUUUAUAGAGACUGUCACUUGGGUGUGUGCUUAUUAUUCUACACACUGUCUCAUAGCCAUUGUUAUGUUCACUAGCUAAGCAGUGAUUGCUGGAAUUUUAGGGAGAUUUGUGUGGAUGUUAAACUGUCAUCUCUUGAGUGGAAGCAGUUCACGUCCACAGAGGAGAAAAUAAAGUCCUCCAGUAGCUAUGCAAACUUUAAAAUAGCCAUAUUUAUGGAAAAGGGGUAGUUUCACUCCAUUUCAUCAAUAUCAUAGAAAAUUGUACUGGCCUAAAAUGUCCACAAAUAAUGGAGACAUGGUUCAAUUUCUAUCAUUCUUCUGAAAACUUUACAUAAAUUCUAACCAUGUAUGUACCGUACAAUACCAUGACAAUUACAUCUUAAAGGAUUCAAUGUUGCUUACAAUAACCCUGGAGACUUGAUGCAUAUAUAACCGGGGGCACUGUCCUUCACUGAUGUGUGCCCCCUUUGUUGUGCAUCUUGCUGUAUUUUUAACUUCUUCACUUGACAUGUAAAAUUCUCUCCAUAUAAAAUAAAUUUGGAAAGAGUGACAGAACUGGAUGCCACAGAUAUUCCAAAGAGUGUCAUCUUUUGCUUGACAAAAGAUUGACCAAGUUUUCUAUGGAUUUUAAAACUAAGACAGGAAUUCCUGAAAAAUGGCAAUUCAGGAGGAAAGCAAUGAUUUCUGAAAAGUUUGAGUAACAGCAGAAAUGACAUCUCCAUGUAAGAACCUACAUUUUACAUUAUUAACCAUUUGGUUCUGACAUAUAUUCACCCAAUAAUAAAUAUUAUAAUGAUUUAAUUGUGAAAUUCCUGAUUUGGGUAUUGCAGAAGAAAAAAAUCACUGUGAUUGGAUUUAUUGUUAAAAACACACUUACCUAAUCAUUAAUAUUCUCUUGAGUAUUAUCUAUAGGUUUUUACAACACAAGCAUUAAGGUGUCCUUGGGUAGUAGGUAGACAAGAGACAUCCCCAGAUUGGGAAGUGCAGCUCAAGAUCAGCAGUUCUCCUACCAGGUAGCCAGGGAAAGCUACAGCUGGCUUCCAAUUCUCUGCUUUUAUUCUGUUCUCAUACAGACUCAUUUAUUGAAGGAAGUCAUAAAUUAGCAAGACACGCUAACACUGUCACUCACACUUCAGAUAGGUUGAAGACAGAGUGACAAUAAGACAGAGACAAUCACCGAAGGUGGCAUUCAUUUGCUCAUAGGCAGGACACACUUCAUGGAGUAAUUGUUACUUUAUUAAGUGCCAUUUACUACAUGAUCACUGUGUGUCAUGUACUUGUGAGAAUUGUACAGGUAAUGGGAUCUUUAUUCUUUUCUCGUUGGUUCACUGUUUAAAGAGGAAGCUAAGUGGCAAUAAUACCGGUAACAUACAGCCAUGUAAAUGACUUUAGAAUCACAUAUGAUAAACACAUGAGACUCAGACCACACAAAACUGAUAAAACUAGAGUGAUGCUGCUUUUCUUUAUUCAGCAAGUGGAGCACAUAGACAACUUCUAAGUAAGAGGGUGAUUUUUGCUGUGAUAGGAAAGAGAUGUAUGACAGGGGAUGCUGUUUGAGAAAUUAUUGCAGGAAUUUAGUAAAUAAGUGUCAAGGAGACUCUAUUGGGCACUGUCAGCAAUGCUGCGGAAUACAGAUUGGAGAGGUCAAGUAAACAACACUUGCUGAACCCUUGUCUUCUGGGGAUCAAAGUAGGGAAGAUCCAUAUAUCUUUUGGCCUGAGAAGAUGGGUUUGAACACUGUCUUGUGGAGGUGAUACAUUUCAAGCUAAUGGAAAAAAUGAGCAAACUUCUGAUGAACAACUGAUAAAUAGCAAGUAUUAACAUUAAUUAGAAUGUGGAAAGCAUGGCAGAGAGACAGAGAGGUUUCCAUGUGGCUAAUUGGCUGUUGAAACCGCUGAGAGUUGCUUUUUGUGUUUUGUUAAUGCCAUCCUACCCUAUGUUGACGUAGGUAAGAUUGCUAUCCUCAGGUUGCGGCAGAGAAGAGAAACUUGUCUCUCCAAGUCCAACUCGAGAUUCAAAUUCAAAUUGCUGUCAUUAUUAGAAUUUUCAGCUUCUGUACCCACCGUCAUUGGCAGCACAUCCUUGGGUAUUGAAUAACGUCUCCAUGUCUUCAAGCUUUUAGGGAUAAUUAUGUGUUUUUAGACACUGUAAAAGAGCUGUUUCACCACCUAUUUCUUUAUCUUUUUUAUUCUAGAAAGCUUACCCUUGACAUCUUAUUGAAAUUAUUUUAAUUAUAACUUAUUUGAGCAAAAAAUAUAUAAGCAUGGAUGUAUAUAUUAUAACAUCAAUCAUGUAUGUGAUAGUUGUACUGUGUAUUUUCAGGUUAAAUAAGGAGGUGUAAACAAAUAAACAACUAGGGUGAUGGUAAUAAGGAUGAGAUCCCUGAGAAAUAGAAUGUAAAAAAGACAAAGGGAAUUGGGAGAUGAUCAGCAGAGAAUGUCUUUUAGGUAGUAUGUUUUAGGAAGAUCUGUAGGAAAGAAUAGAAACUGAAAGAAGGAGAGAGAUGAAUGUGUCAUAAUUAAAGAGCAAGAAGAAGAAGAAGGUGGAGAUGCAGGACAUGCUUAGAAAAUCCUGCUCAGCAAACCUCAGCUAAGUAGAUACUUACUUGGCAAGUUCAUGCCUGUCCAUCAUUGGAACCAAACAUAACAAGUUUUAAACAGCAUUCAUCACUGUGGAGUGAAUGAAGUGGAGAGGGGUGGUGUGAACAGAACAAAGAAGAGAAAUAAAGGAAAUUUUCUGCAAUUUAAGUAACUUCAGUAAUUAUGAUGCUGUUACAGAAGAGAGACCUAUAGGAAGGUUGAGCUUCCCCGGCUAAAAUUCUCAGUUCUUCUCUCUUACUUUUAUUUUUCUCUUUUCUUCAUUUCUUUCAUUCUCAUUUUCAUUUUCUUCAAGAAAUUGUAAUUUUUAAUUUUCUAAGUCAAUAAAACAGUUAGGGGGACAGCAGUGAUGAUGACAAAGAUUUAAGGAAU